AUGGCUGCGCCCUGUGGCUCGGAGCUGCCCGCCAACUCGCCGCUAAAAAUUCCGAAGAUGGAGGUGCUCUCCCCGGCUUCUCCUGGCGACCUGAGCGACGGGAACCCAUCGCUCUCCGACCCUUCCACGCCGCGGGGAGCCUCCCCUCUCGGGCCGGGCAGCUCGGCGGGCUCGGGGGCCGCGGCGUCCGGGGGUCUCGGGCUGGGGCUGGGGGGCCGCAGCGCUGCCUCGUCCUCGGUCUCCUUCUCGCCCGGCGGCGGCAGUGGCGGGGCUGCGGCGGCCGCUGCCGCCGCCUGCCGGGGCAUGUCGUGGACGCCGGCAGAGACGAACGCGCUCAUCGCUGUGUGGGGCAACGAGCGGCUGGUGGAGGCGCGGUACCAGCAGCUGGAGGGAGCCGGCACGGUAUUCGGCAGCAAGGCCCCUGGGCCGGCCAUGUACGAGCGCGUGUCCCGGGCCCUGGCCGAGCUGGGCUACGAGCGGACCCCGUCCCAGUGCCGGGAGCGCAUCAAGGGAAUAUCUAGUUGGAAUGCUUCAUUGUCCAGUUAUGAGAAGGAAAUCUAAAGCAAAGAAAGGAGAUUGAGCCUCUGAAGAAUUUAGAGGAUCAGUUUACCUGUUUGCAGACAGCUGGUUCGAUGCCCAGACCUGAAUGCUGUGCUCCAGCUGUGGCCUCACCGGUGCUGAAUAGAGAGGAAGAGCCACCUUCAUAGCUUACAUGUGAUUCCUCUGCUUAUACAACCCAAUACUGGAUUUACUUACUUUGGCAAGAUAGCUGCAUUGUGCACUGUAUUUAAUGUUCCGUGUACUGUAACCCUGGGUCUUUCUCUGCAUUGCUGCCGUCACACCCUCAAUCCUGCCAAUCUAAACCUCCUGCCUUUGUUUACCUGCCCUCUUCCCUUAGGCUCCCCAUGCAUUCAUGCACAAUGAAUGCCGUCUUUUUAUUCUCUGAUUCCCUUUUACUUUUAUCUUAAACUCUGGCAAGACUUUCACUCUGUCCUAUAAAUUUUCAGUGGUCAGCCAGCCCCCCUCCCCCUGCUUUGGUCAUGGAACAUCCCUCAAGCCUUUUCUCGGGUUCUUUCCGUUUGUAGCCCUGAAACCUAAGCAUUUGGUAUGGUGGAUUGACUAAGCAUUCAUUCACCUGGCAUUUCUGAAUUGCAAUGACUCUGGUUUGGCCCUUUGAAGUUGUUACCUUGCUUCGUUCUGUCUAGUUUCCUUGACUCUUUAUGACGUCUGUCUUGGUGGAUAGGAUAGUCUUACAGCCCCUCCUCCAGGGAGAUGAAAACGUGCUAUCAACCUCAACGUACCAGAGAGAUUUCUCACAGUAAGGAAGUUAGCAAUUAUCUUUUAAUAGAAUAGCCUUUAUAGUCUUAGCGUUCUCCAUUGGAGGUGAACUUGCAUACAUUUCUGAGGUGAGGGAGGUGAGGGAAGCACUGAAGCAAGGUCCCUCAGUGUCACGUGGACUGUGCUGUACCGAGCCAGCCGGUGGAUCUUGGUGGAUUUGGUAGCCGACUCAAAUGGGAGCUGCAGCCUCAUCGUUCCUGGACUCGGGAGCAUCGUGUCUCUGAUUUAGAGGAGGUUUUUAGUCGGUUUGUUUAGGAUUGUUGAUACAGCUGCCCAGUCUUUUAAUGAUAUGCUUUGAUAAGCAUUUAGAGGCUAAUAUAUUGUAUAAUCUUUUCUGUGGGUGGUAAGAAUUGCAAGGUCUCCGUAUGCCCUUUUUAUCUAUGUGUAAGCUCUCAAGUAAGUCCUAAUGGGUCUAAGGGUAGCAGUUAAGCCGAUGUUUGAGCCCCUCCCAUCUUAGUGGAUAUGCCCUGUUUAAACAGACUGCCCUUGAAUUUUUGGUAUUUAUUAGACCUACAAAGUACUGCUUACUGAAGGAGAGAAAGUUGGUUUGGAAAUCUUUUUAAUGCAAUUUCAGUAUAUCAAGUUAGACAUUACAAAACACCUGGUAGAUGUCAGCACAUUGUACUAAUUUUAAACAUGUGUUACAGGUGUAUACUACAAAUAAAAGGUGUUUAUCGCUGUCAGAGAUUGCUGGUUUCAGUAGUCACAGUUACAUAACCAAAGAAAAUUGUAAGCUCAAUUUGGUGUCUUAGAAAAAAGUGUCUUUUCUCUGGUUCCUCCCCAUGUAUAUUAUAAAAAAUUGGUGAAUCUAUUUUUGAUGCGAAUACAUGUUUGCAAAUAUAGGAAGAAAAUGUAGAGUUCCUGUGCCUUUGUCACUUCCUUGUAAGUAUGGCACCCUUCGUGGAAGGGAAUGUUAGUCUAGUUCCGUGGCUUCUGGGGUGACCCUCAGUGACCGAACUCAGUGGACUUUGCUGUUGUAGGGAGCCAGUGAGUGGUGAGAAGGGAAGGGAAUGGCCUCCAUCUCCAUGUAUGGUCUUAGGAGGGACAUGGACAGGGCUGGGACUCUGUAUUUACAGUCUUUGGCGGAGUCAAGACUGGUUGGGGUGUUCUUGGAGGCAGAAACUAGACUUUGUAAGAUAAAAAUAAAUUGUCAGAGGCUGUUUUCGAUUCAAAUUCCGAUCUCUGAGGAGGGCGAGGGUGCUGGGAAAGGGGGGUCUGUGCCAAGUCAAUGAUAUUUGCAGCGCUUGUCUCUUUGCAUUGGGAGAUUUGACCAUGACACACAUUUUCCAGGUUUUUGUUUCUGGAUUGUUUAAGAAAGUUUUGUCCUAUGGGGUCAAAAUUCUGUUACAGAAAGAAAUAAUGGUUUUUAAAGAGCUUAUGCGAAGCCUUAGGUUUCUGUGAGGAUCGUUUGAGGUGGUGGGAGAGAUUCUUUGAAAGGCAGAGAGAGUGGGUAGAUGCUCAUUUAAAAGGCAGAGUGGGUAGAUGCUCAUCUAGGGGUCCAAGCUGCAGGCGGUGACUGUCUGAGGGAGCUCAUGGUGGCUCAAGCUUUUAUUAUCCUUUCUGCCUAUGUGGAUUUCUGGCUUCAGGGAGCAGAUUCUUCAAGAGUCUUUGAGGAAGUGUCGUGUAUAUUGUCAGCGCUUCACGGAGGUCCGUAAAGUUCAAGACUUGUUUUAGUUUGGUGAGAAUAGGUCAUAGAUUGGCUGAUGGAAGAUAAUCUCUUCUUUAGGAGAGUCUUAAAGUCUUGACAGUGCUUAUGCAUUAGGUUAGAGAUAAACUAGUUUUAGCAGGUAAGUUAGAAAAUAUUUAGGAGCCACUAGGGAAAGGAGGUUUUGUCUAAGGGAAAGGGGGUUUCAGGCAAAUUCUGACUAAGACUCCAUGACAAAGAAGAGCUAUUGGCAGGGGAGAGCAAGGCAGGCCGAGGCUGCACAGCCUGAGUGUGGCGGGUGUUUCAGUUGAGACUGAGUCCUUGGUGUCCUUCUGAUGUCUCUGGUAAGAUAGCACGAGGUGUACUAUUAAUUUCAGGAAGUGGACCAGUCUGAAAUAUAUAGUAGAAAUAAAGGCCAUAGAAAAGGAAAGAGUUGAACAAGACAGAAGAUCCUCCAGGUUCUGUUUAGGAGCUUGCAUAAUGCAGUUACUUGUGUGCAGUGACAGAGAAAGACAUGGCCCCUUCGUCAUCCUCUCCGAGAAGGACUGUCAGCCUGGUUUGUUGGUUUGUUUAGCUGACAUUGUGAGUUGGUAGAUUAGUAAAAUAUAGGUAUUAAUGUACUAUUUCUUGGCCAUUGUGUCUGAGACUAGGGACUUAGGACAGACAUUAUUGAUUUGAUUGCUGCUUCAGUUGUAGACCUUUUUACCACUAUAGAGUGAGUUAGAAAGGAACAGACUCUGUAAGUGAUUUGUUUUGUUAGCUACUUUGUCUAGACAGCUGUUUGCCCCUGUUCUUACCUAAGAGUAAGGAAGAUGUUUUCCACUUGGGGAAAUUCUUCUUUCUGUCCUCUUUCCCUCACGUUUUCCAAAUUCUGGGCACCAUAGCAGCUCUCUCUCCUGUGGCAGGUGUGCAUCCUAUUGGCUGGCUGGUAUUUCUUUUUUUCCUCCCCCUUAUCCUUUUUAAAUGGGGGAGGGGGCAUAAAAUGUGUGUAUUGGGUACAUGCAAUAAUGUUGUAAUGUUUCUUGUUGUUUUAAUUGAUAAUUGCAAAAUAAUUGUUUGAAUUAUAACAUGUUUGAGUAAAUGCUAAAUUAGUAUUUUUCUAAUAUAAUAAUGAAUUUGAAAUAGCAUUCCUGUAACAAUGUGUCUGUGUUUGUCUGUCUGUGUCUGUCUGAUAGUAAUUAAUAUCUGUGGUCCGUAUCUGGAGGAGGAAGUACAGCUUUAAAGGAAUAACAAAAGACUUUGUGUCUUAGACCCUUCGCAGGUGUUACAGUCGGGUGAAAGAACAUGGUGUUGGGAAAAGAAAGAGCAGUUACACAUUUGAACAGUUGGAACAGGUGUUUGGUCAGGGAGGAU